AAGUGCGAAUGCUGACAUAAGUAACGAUAAAGCGGGUGAAAAGCCCGCUCGCCGGAAGACCAAGGGUUCCUGUCCAACGUUAAUCGGGGCAGGGUGAGUCGACCCCUAAGGCGAGGCCGAAAGGCGUAGUCGAUGGGAAACGGGUUAAUAUUCCCGUACUUGGUGUUACUGCGAAGGGGGGACGGAGAAGGCUAUGUUGGCCGGGCGACGGUUGUCCCGGUUUAAGCGUGUAGGCUGGUUUUCCAGGCAAAUCCGGAAAAUCAAGGCUGAGGCGUGAUGACGAGGCACUACGGUGCUGAAGCAACAAAUGCCCUGCUUCCAGGAAAAGCCUCUAAGCAUCAGGUAACAUCAAAUCGUACCCCAAACCGACACAGGUGGUCAGGUAGAGAAUACCAAGGCGCUUGAGAGAACUCGGGUGAAGGAACUAGGCAAAAUGGUGCCGUAACUUCGGGAGAAGGCACGCUGACACGUAGGUGAAGUGAUUUACUCAUGGAGCUGAA
rnacentral:rRNA from 1 species